rnacentral:rRNA from 1 species
AUUGAACGCUGGCGGCAUGCUUUACACAUGCAAGUCGAACGGUAACAGGCCGCAAGGUGCUGACGAGUGGCGAACGGGUGAGUAAUGCAUCGGAACGUGCCCAGUCGUGGGGGAUAACGCAGCGAAAGCUGUGCUAAUACCGCAUACGAUCUGUGGAUGAAAGCGGGGGACCUUCGGGCCUCGUGCGAUUGGAGCGGCCGAUGUCAGAUUAGGUAGUUGGUGGAGUAAAGGCUCACCAAGCCAACGAUCUGUAGCUGGUCUGAGAGGACGACCAGCCACACUGGGACUGAGACACGGCCCAGACUCCUACGGGAGGCAGCAGUGGGGAAUUUUGGACAAUGGGCGCAAGCCUGAUCCAGCAAUGCCGCGUGCAGGAAGAAGGCCUUCGGGUUGUAAACUGCUUUUGUACGGAGCGAAAAGGCUCUCUCUAAUACAGGGGGCUCAUGACGGUACCGUAAGAAUAAGCACCGGCUAACUACGUGCCAGCAGCCGCCGUAACAC